AAAACACUAAUCGAGAAACACGGAAGGAUAUCCCCCUUUUAUACAUUUUUAUUAGGAAUUUGACCUGUUACACUCUGGUUAAGUCUGGUGAACUUCCGUAUUCAGUUUGAUUUGUUUUUAUCUGUUCAUGAGUUUCGAUCAUUUCCUGUUUGAUGUUUUCCCAGUUUGCUUUCCUGAUUAGGAGGAAUAUCCGGGUAUUUUGUUUCAUAGAUUAAUGUUUUGUUGUCUAUGUCGCCGAGGCAAUGAUGUGGUUAAAAGCACCAAAAUUCCUUUCGUGAUUACAGGUUCACUACUCGUAUUUUUAAUAUUGUUAUGAAUGUGUCUAAAGGUUUGAUA
rnacentral:lncRNA from 1 species